UACGUAGGUGGCAAGCGUUGUCCGGAUUUACUGGGUGUAAAGGGCGUGUAGCCGGGCUGACAAGUCAGAUGUGAAAUCCGGGGGCUCAACCCCCGAACUGCAUUUGAAACUGUUGGUCUUGAGUAUCGGAGAGGCAGGCGGAAUUCCUAGUGUAGCGGUGAAAUGCGUAGAUAUUAGGAGGAACAUCAGUGGCGAAGGCGACUUUCUGGACUGUAACUGACGCUGAGGCACGAAAGUGUGGGGAGCAAACAGG
rnacentral:rRNA from 1 species